UACAGAGGGUGCGAGCGUUAAUCGGAAUUACUGGGCGUAAAGGGCUCGUAGGCGGCCAACUAAGUCAUACGUGAAAUCCCUCAGCUUAACUGGGGAACUGCGUGUGAUACUGGAUGGCUUGGAUUUGGGAGAGGGAUGCGGAAUUCCAGGUGUAGCGGUGAAAUGCGUAGAUAUCUGGAGGAACACCGGUGGCGAAGGCGGCAUCCUGGACCAAUAUUGACGCUGAGGAGCGAAAGCCAGGGGAGCAAACGGG
rnacentral:rRNA from 1 species